ACAGAGGUAGCGAACGUUGUCCGGAUUUACUGGGCGUAAAGGGCUUGUAGGUGGCCAAAUAAGUCAGAUGUGAAAUCGUUCUGCUCAACAGAACAAUUGCUUCUGAUACUGCUUGGCUUGAGUGCAGGAGGGGAAAAUGGAAUUUCUGGUGUAGCGGUGAAAUUCGUAGAUAUCGGAAGGAACACCGGUGGCGAAGGCGGUUUUCUGGCCUGCAACUGACGCUGAGGCGCGAAAGCUUGGGGAGCAAACAG
rnacentral:rRNA from 1 species